rnacentral:rRNA from 1 species
UACAGAGGUGGCGAGCGUUGUUCGGAUUUACUGGGCGUAAAGGGUGCGUAGGUGGUCGCCUAUGUCGGAUGUGAAAGCCCACGGCUUAACCGUGGAAGGUCAUUCGAAACUGGGCGACUUGAGUGCAGGAGGGGAGAGCGGAAUUCUUGGUGUAGCGGUGAAAUGCGUUGAUAUCAAGAAGAACACCGGUGGCGAAGGCGGCUCUCUGGAAUGCAACUGACACUGAGGCACGAAAGCUGGGGGAGCAAACAGG